CUUGAGAGAUACAAUAUUAAAUGGAAUUACAUCAUUAUGUACAGAGCUGGUCCCUAAUUUGUUUGUGUUGUACAUAAAUGAUGCACAAUGUGUCUAAAUGGUUAACAUUCACCUUAUUUGCUGAUGGCACUGCUUUAAAUUGCUGUAGUGCCCGGCGGUGGGUGUGGAUAAUUUUGCCGAAAAAAACGGUGGAAGUGGAGCAGCCGAAGAGUAAACUUUCAAAAAGCAGAGCGGCAGUUUGUGCUCACAGAUGGAGACGGUGUGGAGAGACGGUGGUGUUUCCUCAGAAGAACAAGCAGAGUCACCAAGGGCACGAGUCCAUCUCACCACCUUGACUUGCUGACUGAUGCUCGUCUGCACUGCACAGAGGAAAUCAACUAACCGAGGAGUGUUUCUGAGUGAGGGAGAGAGGAGUCAUCAUCCAGGUACAGUGACGUGGAUCAGUGGAUACACUUGUCUCCCCUUUAAAGGAGAUACUCUUAGAGAGAGACGAUCCGAGUCAUCCCUAAAUGUUAGUGCUUUCAAAUACACAAACAUUUUUAAAGGACAAAAACGAACAUCCAACUUUGACUGUAACACAAAAUAAAUCUUUGCAUGUGUGUU